rnacentral:rRNA from 1 species
CAUGUAGGCGGCCUAUCAAGCGUUGUGUGAAAUCCCUCGGCUCAACCGAGGAACUGCAUGGCGAACUGGUAGGCUUGAGGCAAGUAGGGGCGAGUGGAACUCUUGGUGGAGCGGUGGAAUGCGUAGAUAUCAAGAGGAACGUCGGAGGCGAAGGCGACUCGCUGGGCUUGACCUGACGCUGAGAUGCGAAAGCUAGGGUAGCGAACAGGAUUAGAUACCCUGGUAGUCC